GAUCAUUUUUGACAUUUCUGACAGGCCAGGGGACUUUAAAGGGCACAUAGGCAGAAAAUUGGCUCACUGCAGUUGCCAAGCCUUGCUAAAUAGCCACAGAAAGCUACAGAGAAAAAGCAUGUGGCGGUAGUGAUAGAAAAGAAACGGGCAGAACCUCCAAAAGAUGUUUGGAGAGAUUUGGGAGGCAAUGUUGGCCAGUGAUUAAGAAAGAGGUUCUGAUGGGUACUGAUGCUGUACAUAACUCCUAAUUUUCCCUUCUCCCUCAAAAGAGAUUUUCAGUCAACACUGUGCCAGACAGUGUCAGUCGGGCUGGAAAAUGAUGGAGGGGAAAAGCGAGUUGCUUUCCAGCAGAUACAAGUUCACAGCCAGGGCAGCCAGGAUUCUAGGGAACAGGGAGUGGGAAAUAAAAAAUGACAAAGCUUUGGUUGCUGCGUCACAAGAUCCCAUCGCCCAGACACAAUCAGCCAAAUCAGAGAGGAGACCACACAACCAUGUAAACAAAAAGCCCUUCCGAUUAUCCCAUUAUCUUUCUGCCGUUAUUCCAUAUUUGGCAUCUGCACAAGUGUAGUGUCUCAGAGACUCCCGAGUCAUGACCCCGUUGCCAUUAUGGAUCAGACCGAAGAAGAGAUGGGGUUUGUGCCAUUUCCGCACAAUUCUGCUCCCUUCCAGAUGUCCCCUGUUGACAGUUUUAGCCCACAAUUAAUUAAAAAGGGCCUUGACCUACAGCCCGGUUCUCCAGAGAAUGCUAUUUUUGACUACAGAUUGUUUUGGGAAACAUCUCGCUCGGAGAAGCAGAAUUUGAGGAGAAGCACUAGAUUAGCGGAGAGAGCAAGCGUUAAUUAAGCCGGUUCCCUUGAGAGUUUCCCAGGAGGAUUGCAUCUGGCAAGUUGUUGACUUAGUCCACUUUCCCUUGGGAAAGAGUGUUCAGACACCUGGCUGGAGAGGAGAGCGAAAUCCCAUAAAAGUUCUGGGCGCCAACUGACCUUUGCGGUGUUCAACGUGUCAGUUGAGGAAUUCACAUUGACUCUAGUUCUGCAGCGCGCUACUCUCGAGUAGACCGGCAUUGCAUCAUGUCUCCCUGUCAAGCCUGGACAGCGAAUCAGCUUUACCACGACUAACUUUGCCUUGCCUUGCAUCCUAGCCUCGGAAUUGAGUCCUGGAACUCUUUGACAGACCUUGCUUUAAUCCCCACUCAAACAGCCUAAAGGUUUGAGUGUGUUUCGGUUAUUGGAUUUAAAACUUUGAACUCUAAUACUGGACAUCUACUUUCACAUUACUGGACUAUAUUUGACCUUUUCUGGAAGGUCUAUAGCUGGACUAUAUACUCUGCUUAUUUUUAGUUGUUUCCUUUAUUUCCUUAAUAAAGAUAUUUUGUGCAUGGAA
rnacentral:lncRNA from 11 species